CUUGCUGUCGUUUCAUGUACAUAAUGUGUUUACUGGGUUGAAUUGACCAUUUCUACUCUCCAACAUGAUUAGUCUUCAUGGUGAGCUAAAUUCUUCUUUUUUGACUGUUCAGCCAUGUGGUAAGGUCCUAGCUAGUCCAUUGAAAGAAAGAAAAGGAAAAGGAGAAAAAUUAUCGUCUUAUGUUCUUCACCAUCUAAUAAGAAAAAUGUGAAAUGUUUCGGGUUUUUGAUUUUAAUUUUUUUUUUAUGUAACUAGAUGCUAUUGACCUGAGAAGGAAAUUAUGAAGAAAAAGUUGCAUGAGCUUAACAUAUUAUGCUUAGAACGAUGUUCAAGGUUCCAUACCUACAUCAUAUCCAACAGUUGUGUCUACACAUACAUGAGCAUGUGUUGCACUUUGCUUAAAUAUGCAAUAUAUUAGUAUUCAAGCCCACUUUUAUUGGUAUAUAUUUGUAUGUUUUUGCUAACUAUUACUUAGUAAUUGUUGUCCAUAUCAUAAGAUUAUUGCUGGCUAAUUCAUUUUAGGCGGUGCUACUCAGAAGGAGGUCACAGCUUGUGGGUUACUUUCUAAUAGAGAUAUCUACGAGGUUGUAACUGAUAUUCCAUUUUAUGUCGAUUAUUGACUUGAACAUUCGUCCAUAGCAAAGAUAGUUAUAAGUUUUUGUCCUUUGCUAGCUACUUCAUUUUCAUGUUUCAACAUGGCAAGCAACUUUCGGACAGUUAUGUUUUCUGUACAUGCCAUUCUGUAUUUGUCCCACCUUUUCCUUUCAUUUGUCUUUCUCAUUCCAGCUCAAUCUAAAAGCAUGUUGAUGGAGAACCAAGAAACUAGAAGGGAGGAAGCCCCAGAAUUGUUGCUUUCAGAGCAGAAGAUAUCACUUGAAAGUUGCACAAGGCUGCUCCACUUGUGAAAACCUUGCACCUCUUGUACCUCAUUUGUAAGGUUUGUUAUGGUAUGAUAUGAUAGUGGUCACCACCAGGCUCACUUGCCUCCAUUCAAAAGACUAACGAAUGUACCUUUUACUGUGCUGUAUGCUGGAAUUAUUUACCAUAGAAUUGAUCCAAGGCGCAUGGAACAAUUAAGUGAAUAGUGCCUAAUGUUGGGUCAUUUUCUACACCUCCGUAAGACUAGCUUAAGCCCUUUACUUUAUGUAAUGAGACAUUAAACCUUAUCAUCAUUGAUGUAUAGUAUACCCUCUUCUUAGCUUCUAUUCAAAAGUAGUCAAUUCCUUGAAUCAAACCCAAAGGAAUGGAUUGUAACCUACUUGCUCUGGUCUAGUUCCAACUCUCAAUUAAGUAAAAAUUGUCAUAGCUUUCAUAUGGCAGCAGUUUAAAAGUUUGGAGAGAAACCUUUUCCAUCAGAAAGUCAAAUGAUACUUCAAAUUACAAUUUGAAAGUACUCUAUAUGUAUGAGAAUGUACUUGAACAUGAUGAGGAACUUCAUGAUUAGUUUAUUUUCUGGGUGCAUA